rnacentral:rRNA from 1 species
UUAAGCGACUAAGCGUACACGGUGGAUGCCCUGGCAGUCAGAGGCGAUGAAGGGCGUGCUAAUCUGCGAUAAGCGCCGGUAAGGUGAUAUGAACCGUUAUAACCGGCGAUACCCGAAUGGGGAAACCCAGUGUGACUCGUCACACUAUCAUUAACUGAAUCCAUAGGUUAAUGAGGCGAACCGGGGGAACUGAAACAUCUAAGUACCCCGAGGAAAAGAAAUCAACCGAGAUUCCCCCAGUAGCGGCGAGCGAACGGGGAGGAGCCCAGAGCCUGAAUCAGCAUGUGUGUUAGUGGAAGCGUCUGGAAAGGCGCGCGAUACAGGGUGACAGCCCCGUACACAAAAGCGCAUGUGCUGUGAGCUCGAUGAGUAGGGCGGGACACGUGGUAUCCUGUCUGAAUAUGGGGGGACCAUCCUCCAAGGCUAAAUACUCCUGACUGACCGAUAGUGAACCAGUACCGUGAGGGAAAGGCGAAAAGAACCCCGGCGAGGGGAGUGAAAAAGAACCUGAAACCGUGUACGUACAAGCAGUGGGAGCCCCACCACUAAGCCAGUGGUGAACUCCACAUCCGCAUCCUUUGCUGAGGAUACGGUUAACGGAGCGAAAGCGACGUUCAACCGCAAAACAAGCAGAGGGGGCUUAGUGGUGGGGUGACUGCGUACCUUUUGUAUAAUGGGUCAGCGACUUAUAUUCUGUAGCAAGGUUAACCGUAUAGGGGAGCCGGAGGGAAACCGAGUCUUAAUUGGGCGUUAAGUUGCAGGGUAUAGACCCGAAACCCGGUGAUCUAGCCAUGGGCAGGUUGAAGGUUGGGUAACACUAACUGGAGGACCGAACCGACUAAUGUUGAAAAAUUAGCGGAUGACCUGUGGCUGGGGGUGAAAGGCCAAUCAAACCGGGAGAUAGCUGGUUCUCCCCGAAAGCUAUUUAGGUAGCGCCUCGUGAAUUCAUCUCCGGGGGUAGAGCACUGUUUCGGCUAGGGGGCCAUCCCGGCUUACCAACCCGAUGCAAACUGCGAAUACCGGAGAAUGUUAUCACGGGAGACACACGGCGGGUGCUAACGUCCGUCGUGAAGAGGGAAACAACCCAGACCGCCAGCUAAGGUCCCAAAGUCAUGGUUAAGUGGGAAACGAUGUGGGAAGGCCCAGACAGCCAGGAUGUUGGCUUAGAAGCAGCCAUCAUUUAAAGAAAGCGUAAUAGCUCACUGGUCGAGUCGGCCUGCGCGGAAGAUGUAACGGGGCUAAACCAUGCACCGAAGCUGCGGCAGCGAACGUAUCACCCAAGACAACUUUACGGAGUUGACGAUUGACGGAGCGAAGCGACGUCAAAGCGUUCAUUAAAGUCGAGUUGGCUUAGGGAUACGUUCGUUGGGUAGGGGAGCGUUCUGUAAGCCUGUGAAGGUGUGUCGUGAGGCAUGCUGGAGGUAUCAGAAGUGCGAAUGCUGACAUAAGUAACGAUAAAGCGGGUGAAAAGCCCGCUCGCCGGAAGACCAAGGGUUCCUGUCCAACGUUAAUCGGGGCAGGGUGAGUCGACCCCUAAGGCGAGGCCGAAAGGCGUAGUCGAUGGGAAACGGGUUAAUAUUCCCGUACUUGGUGUUACUGCGAAGGGGGGACGGAGAAGGCUAUGUUGGCCGGGCGACGGUUGUCCCGGUUUAAGCGUGUAGGUGUGUGUUCCAGGUAAAUCCGGUUCACUUUAACACUGAGGCGUGACGACGAGGCACUACGGUGCUGAAGCAACAAAUGCCCUGCUUCCAGGAAAAGCCUCUAAGCAUCAGGUAACACGAAAUCGUACCCCAAACCGACACAGGUGGUCAGGUAGAGAAUACCAAGGCGCUUGAGAGAACUCGGGUGAAGGAACUAGGCAAAAUGGUGCCGUAACUUCGGGAGAAGGCACGCUGACACGUAGGUGAAGUGAUUUACUCAUGGAGCUGAAGUCAGUCGAAGAUACCAGCUGGCUGCAACUGUUUAUUAAAAACACAGCACUGUGCAAACACGAAAGUGGACGUAUACGGUGUGACGCCUGCCCGGUGCCGGAAGGUUAAUUGAUGGGGUCAGCGUAAGCGAAGCUCCUGAUCGAAGCCCCGGUAAACGGCGGCCGUAACUAUAACGGUCCUAAGGUAGCGAAAUUCCUUGUCGGGUAAGUUCCGACCUGCACGAAUGGCGUAAUGAUGGCCAGGCUGUCUCCACCCGAGACUCAGUGAAAUUGAACUCGCUGUGAAGAUGCAGUGUACCCGCGGCAAGACGGAAAGACCCCGUGAACCUUUACUAUAGCUUGACACUGAACAUUGAGCCUUGAUGUGUAGGAUAGGUGGGAGGCUUUGAAGUGUGGACGCCAGUCUGCAUGGAGCCGACCUUGAAAUACCACCCUUUAAUGUUUGAUGUUCUAACGUGGACCCGUAAUCCGGGUUGCGGACAGUGUCUGGUGGGUAGUUUGACUGGGGCGGUCUCCUCCUAAAGAGUAACGGAGGAGCACGAAGGUUGGCUAAUCCUGGUCGGACAUCAGGAGGUUAGUGCAAUGGCAUAAGCCAGCUUGACUGCGAGCGUGACGGCGCGAGCAGGUGCGAAAGCAGGUCAUAGUGAUCCGGUGGUUCUGAAUGGAAGGGCCAUCGCUCAACGGAUAAAAGGUACUCCGGGGAUAACAGGCUGAUACCGCCCAAGAGUUCAUAUCGACGGCGGUGUUUGGCACCUCGAUGUCGGCUCAUCACAUCCUGGGGCUGAAGUAGGUCCCAAGGGUAUGGCUGUUCGCCAUUUAAAGUGGUACGCGAGCUGGGUUUAGAACGUCGUGAGACAGUUCGGUCCCUAUCUGCCGUGGGCGCUGGAGAACUGAGGGGGGCUGCUCCUAGUACGAGAGGACCGGAGUGGACGCAUCACUGGUGUUCGGGUUGUCAUGCCAAUGGCACUGCCCGGUAGCUAAAUGCGGAAGAGAUAAGUGCUGAAAGCAUCUAAGCACGAAACUUGCCCCGAGAUGAGUUCUCCCUGAGACUUAGAGUCUCCUGAAGGAACGUUGAAGACGACGACGUUGAUAGGCCGGGUGUGUAAGCGCAGCGAUGCGUUGAGCUAACCGGUACUAAUGAACCGUGAGGCUUAACCU